UACGUAGGGUGCGAGCGUUAAUCGGAAUUACUGGGCGUAAAGCGUGCGCAGGCGGUAAUGUAAGACAGAUGUGAAAUCCCCGGGCUCAACCUGGGAACUGCAUUUGUGACUGCAUGGCUAGAGUGCGGCAGAGGGGGAUGGAAUUCCGCGUGUAGCAGUGAAAUGCGUAGAUAUGCGGAGGAACACCGAUGGCGAAGGCAAUCCCCUGGGCCUGCACUGACGCUCAUGCACGAAAGCGUGGGGAGCAAACAGG
rnacentral:rRNA from 1 species